UGUUCUGUGGCUUAGUUGGUUAAAGCGCCGAUUAUGCGAAUACAGAGUCGACGGUUCGAAUCCCACCAGAACGU
rnacentral:tRNA from 1 species